AAAGCUUCUAUCUGGAUGUCA
rnacentral:snRNA from 1 species